rnacentral:rRNA from 1 species
UACGUAGGGGGCAAGCGUUGUCCGGAUUUAUUGGGCGUAAAGAGCGUGUAGGCGGCCAGGUAGGUCGGUUGUGAAAACUGGAGGCUCAACCUUCAGAGGUCGACCGAAACCAUCUGGCUAGAGUCCGGGAGAGGAGAGUGGAAUUCCUGGUGUAGCGGUGAAAUGCGCAGAUAUCAGGAAGAACACCCGUGGCGAAGGCGGCUCUCUGGGACGGUACUGACGCUGAGACGCGAAAGCGUGGGGAGCGAACAGG